UACGUAGGGUGCAAGCGUUUAAUCGGAAUUACUGGGCGUAAAGCGUGCGCAGGCGGUUUUGUAAGUCUGUCGUGAAAUCCCCGGGCUCAACCUGGGAAUUGCGAUGGAGACUGCAAGGCUAGAAUCUGGCAGAGGGGGGUAGAAUUCCACGUGUAGCAGUGAAAUGCGUAGAGAUGUGGAGGAACACCGAUGGCGAAGGCAGCCCCCUGGGUCAAGAU
rnacentral:rRNA from 1 species